rnacentral:lncRNA from 1 species
AGUCUUGUUUAAAGACGUUCUGAAACCAAUUAAUGGACUUCCUCCAGAGAUCUCAUAUUGACUCUUUCAUUACUGGUGCAGUUUUUCCUUUCAUGAAGAAGGAGAAAGCUUUCAGGCAAAUCCUGUUACCUCUGACCUGCAGGUGGGAAAAGCACCAUGGCCCAGUCCAUCAUCCCUCCUCCAGCCUUUCCACUGGUGGGAUCAGACCAUUUUUGAGCUUGAAAUCACACAGGGGAUGUCCACCUUUUCUACACAAGCAGAUGGCACUGGAACAACAGGUCUCUGUGCACGAGGCAUGGCUUUGUGGAUGUGCAGUUCACAGCGAGCAUAAAACAAAGUAAAACCAGACUGAAAACUUUCAUUACCCAGCAAUGCAAGUCACAACAGCAGGGUUAAAUCUGUUUCUAUUUAGACAAUAUCUGGAACAGCGUUUUAUUAUACAGCCUGUAAAGCACUGCCUGUGCAUGGGUGGAAAGUACAUUGUCUCCUUAAAUAAAGAACUGGGGCAGGAUUGUUUGGCA